UGCUGGCUGUUGGGGGCGGGAACCGGCGCACGGCCAACGUGGUGGCCCACGGGUUUACCAACCUCUUCAUCCUGGAUAAGAAGGACCUGAAUGAGAUUUUGGUGCAUUAUCCUGAAUCUCAGAAGUUACUCCGGAAGAAAGCCAGGCGCAUGCUGAGAAACAACAAUAAGCCCAAGGAGGAGAAGAGCGUGCUGAUCCUUCCACCCCGGGCGGGC
rnacentral:lncRNA from 1 species